rnacentral:rRNA from 1 species
GAUGAACGCUGGCGGCGUGCCUAAUACAUGCAAGUCGAGCGAACAGACGAGGAGCUUGCUCCUCUGACGUUAGCGGCGGACGGGUGAGUAACACGUGGAUAACCUACCUAUAAGACUGGGAUAACUUCGGGAAACCGGAGCUAAUACCGGAUAAUAUAUUGAACCGCAUGGUUCAAUAGUGAAAGACGGUUUUGCUGUCACGUAUAGAUGGAUCCGCGCCGCAUUAGCUGGUUGGUAAGGUAACGGCUUACCAAGGCAACGAUGCGUAGCCGACCUGAGAGGGUGGUCGGCCACACUGGAACUGGGACACGGUCCAGACUCCUACGGGAGGCAGCAGUAGGGAAUCUUCCGCAAUAGGCGAAAGCCUGACGGAGCAACGCCGCGUGAGUGAUGAAGGUCUUCGGAUCGUAAAACUCUGUUAUUAGGGAAGAACAAAUGUGUAAGUAACUAUGCACGUCUUGACGGUACCUAAUCGGAAAGCCACGGCUAACUACGUG